AACGAACGCUGGCGGCAUGCCUAACACAUGCAAGUCGAACGAAGCCUUCGGGCUUAGUGGCGCACGGGUGCGUAACGCGUGGGAAUCUGCCCUUGGGUUCGGAAUAACAGUUAGAAAUGACUGCUAAUACCGGAUGAUGUCUUCGGACCAAAGAUUUAUCGCCCAAGGAUGAGCCCGCGUAGGAUUAGGUAGUUGGUGGGGUAAUGGCCCACCAAGCCGACGAUCCUUAGCUGGUCCGAGAGGAUGAUCAGCCACACUGGGACUGAGACACGGCCCAGACUCCUACGGGAGGCAGCAGUGGGGAAUAUUGGACAAUGGGCGAAAGCCUGAUCCAGCAAUGCCGCGUGAGUGAUGAAGGCCUUAGGGUUGUAAAGCUCUUUUACCAGGGAUGAUAAUGACAGUACCUGGAGAAUAAGCCCCGGCUAACUACGUGCCAGCCGCCGCGGUAAAAC
rnacentral:rRNA from 1 species